rnacentral:rRNA from 2 species
AAGUCUCCUGAAGGAACGUUGAAGACGACGACGUUGAUAGGUCGGGUGUGUAAGCGCAGCGAUGCGUUGAGCUAACCGAUACUAAUGAACCGUGAGGCUUAACCUU